GAUGAACGCUAGCGGCAGGCUUAAUACAUGCAAGUCGUGGGGCAGCAGGAAGUAGCAAUACAUUUGAUGGCGACCGGCAAACGGGUGCGGAACACGUACACAACCUUCCUAUAAGUGGGGAAUAGCCCAGAGAAAUUUGGAUUAAUACCCCGUAACAUAAUGAUGUGGCAUCACAUUAUUAUUAUAGCUUCGGCGCUUAUUGAUGGGUGUGCGUCUGAUUAGAUAGUUGGCGGGGUAACGGCCCACCAAGUCUACGAUCAGUAGCUGAUGUGAGGGCAUGAACAGCCACACGGGCACUGAGACACGGGCCCGACUCCUACGGGAGGCAGCAGUAAGGAAUAUUGGUCAAUGGACGCAAGUCUGAACCAGCCAUGCCGCGUGAAGGAUUAAGGUCCUCUGGAUUGUAAACUUCUUUUAUCUGGGACGAAAAAAGGCGAUUCUUCGUCACUUGACGGUACCAGAUGAAUAAGCACCGGCUAACUCCGUGCCAGCAGCCGCCGUAAAAC
rnacentral:rRNA from 1 species